AGGGCUGUAUUGUAUUGGGUGCGAUGCGUAUAUGGAAUAGGAAACAGUCCUUCUGCCAAAUAGUUUAGAACCAAGGCGAGGGAAAACACAUUUUUAAAUUGGUACUAUGAUCCAAAUUUCAUAAUCAUCAUAAUUUAGAUUAUAUCUUAAUAAAGUUAUUAUCCUCAUUAUAAACAAGAAAAAAAAAAAAAGAAUAUAAGGAAUGUGUGACUUGCUUACCACUACACAUGAGUUUUUUGGAAGACCUAGGAAUUAAAAUCCAGUCAUGCCCAACUAGUUCAUCCAGAGAACAUGAGCCAUCUGAAUUAGUAUUAACUCCUGGGUCUUUAAUCUUUCUCUGAUGAAAAGGGGAAUAAUAGACUCCAACCCCUAAAUGGCAAAGGCUGUUCAAGCUGCUGACGCUGAUUUCUAAGGUAAACAAGGCAAUGAGACCCACUUGUUGGAUACGUUCUGACACAGAUGCUGCCAAGCAGGAUGAGGUAGACUGCAGUGAAUACAGGAGGUUAGAGAGAGGAAGACCUAUUUACUGCGAAAAGCUCUACCAACCUUUCUGUGGCUCUGAUGGGAAAACAUACAACAACAAAUGUUCUUUCUGCAAGGCAGUCCUGAGGAGCAGAGGAGCCUUACAUAUGAAGCAAGCAGGUGUAUGCUGAAUUAAUUCUGCAUGACAGAGAAGAAUGCCAAGAACAGCUUUACACUGCCUUAUCAUGAUCUCCUAAUUUAAUUUCAUUCAUCUUGCCUGUACUAAUAAUAGUGAACAAAGCUCCACGUACACCUUUCAGCCGUGCUCUGAUGUCUGCUGCUUCUCCCUGCUUCAGAGUGCAGGGACUGACACUUCUGUCAUCCCUGCAAAUCUUCCUCAGGAUACCCAUAAGCAUUCCUCUUUCUGUAGCAUAUAGGUUUUCAUGUGAGCACUGCAUUAUGUAUUUGUCUCCAUAGUGAAAGUUCAAAUCCUUACAUUGCCACCUGCAGGCAUUGCUCAGUUUUCCUUGCUGGAGCUUGCUCCCCCUUGUUCUUUUCAGAUUCUUCCUUUCAAAAGCUUCAGCUUUCCUAUGAAGUACAUGGACUCUUCCAGUUUUGUAGCUAAAUUUUUAAUUCUCAUUUUUUCUUUUAACUUUGUACAAUUCUGAUUCACAUACGUUGUGUAACUUCUUAGGUUGCAUGUUUAUUAAAAUAAAUGUAGGCUCU
rnacentral:lncRNA from 7 species